rnacentral:ribozyme from 1 species
AGCAAAGACACACACACACAACAAAAAAGACACACACACACACAAGGAGGAGGAAAGCAGCAGGUAGGCGGGUGAUCAACUUUAGAAACACCAUGCACUCAUUCUUUUAUCUUGUUCUUUUUGUUUUUGUUUCUCGUUUUUUUCCUUCUGUUGU